rnacentral:rRNA from 1 species
GGGGAAUAUUGCACAAUGGGGGAAACCCUGAUGCAGCGACGCCGCGUGAGUGAAGAAGUACUUCGGUAUGUAAAGCUCUAUCAGCAGGGAAGAAGAUGACGGUACCUGACUAAGAAGCCCCGGCUAACUACGUGCCAGCAGCCGCGGUAAUACGUAGGGGGCAAGCGUUAUCCGGAUUUACUGGGUGUAAAGGGAGCGUAGGUGGUGAGGCAAGUCAGAUGUGAAACCCCGGGGCUCAACCCCGGGACUGCAUUUGAAACUGUCUUGCUAGAGUGCAGGAGAGGUAAGUGGAAUUCCUAGUGUAGCGGUGAAAUGCGUAGAUAUUAGGAGGAACACCAGUGGCGAAGGCGGCUUACUGGACUGUAACUGACACUGAGGCUCGAAAGCGUGGGGAGCAAAC